rnacentral:rRNA from 1 species
UACGUAGGGGGCUAGCGUUGUCCGGAAUCAUUGGGCGUAAAGCGCGUGUAGGCGGUCCGGUAAGUCCGCUGUGAAAGUCGGGGGCUCAACCCUCGAAAGCCGGUGGAUACUGUCGGGCUAGAGUGCGGAAGAGGCGAGUGGAAUUCCUGGUGUAGCGGUGAAAUGCGCAGAUAUCAGGAGGAACACCUGCGGCGAAGGCGGGUUGCUGGGCCGACACUGACGCUGAUGCGCGAAAGCUAGGGGAGCGAACGGG